rnacentral:rRNA from 1 species
AGCAGCAGCCGCGGGAAUACAGAGGGUGCGAGCGUUAAUCGGAUUUACUGGGCGUAAAGCGUGCGUAGGCGGCUUCUUAAGUCGGAUGUGAAAUCCCUGAGCUUAACUUAGGAAUUGCAUUCGAUACUGGGAAGCUAGAGUAUGGGAGAGGAUGGUAGAAUUCCAGGUGUAGCGGUGAAAUGCGUAGAGAUCUGGAGGAAUACCGAUGGCGAAGGCAGCCAUCUGGCCUAAUACUGACGCUGAGGUACGAAAGCAUGGGGAGCAAACAGGAUUAGAUACCCGUGUAGUCCCUGUCUCUUAUAA